CCAACGACCAAAGCAAAGGACAGCAGAACUGACUGACACAGCUCAGAAAAUAUCCAAAGCUCUGUAUGCUCUGGAAAGGAAGACAAGAAAUGCUAAAGACUCUGGAUAUUGCUCUGUUUCUAUAAGGUCCCACCCAUAUACCAUCUCUUCUUUUGGAUUUCCUUUGGCAGUAACCUGAAGUUAUAUAAGUGGCAUGUUCCCAAGUACAAAGGGAGCCCUUCUAUUGCUUCUGCUUACAAAGAGGUGUCAACCUAAGAAAAAGCCAGAACAAGCCAAAGUUCAGGGUUCCCUUGUAUGGAAGUUCUCAGGAGAACAACACUCUCAGAGUCCCACUGUCUCAAAGAAUUCUUAAUGGACAGCUAUACUUGGCCCCAAGGUUUCAACCUCACACUGAAGAAAGUGACAUAAGAAAACACAAGUCCCAGUGCUAUCAGGGGCUAUCUGGAAAAGCUGCUUAAACAGCAAGUGAAAGAAGGCUCUCCCCUACCCCGUUCUAGACUCACCCUGAAGUUAUUUGAAGGAUCCUUGAGACUCUUUUGGAUUGCUGCUUGGAGAACAUUCCUGUAACUUGUCCCUGCUCCUUGAACUAUAAAAGCAGAAGGGAGGUACUGAGUUAAAACUUACAAAUUAUUAUCAAAUAAAUCUUCAAUAGUGGUUCAGUCCAA
rnacentral:lncRNA from 1 species